AGAUGUUAUAGGGUGUUGUUAUUCAUUUAUAUGUUGACUGCUAUUGACAUUGCAGAUGACACAUGCGUGGGAGCCGAAGUGAUGCGUGUUUCUGUCUAUGCUAUCACUGAUGACUCUCCAAUAAGUGAUGAAAAUAGUCCUGUGUCCUGUGCUCCACAUGUUGCGCAAGACUGCGGGCAGCAUUGUUGGGUGAGGGCAUGGCUGUGCCGCUGACGCAGUGCCUGCCUGUUGUUCCCAACAAGCUGUUACUCAUCUUUGCCGACCUCGAAAUGAUGACAGGCUAGGUCAACCCACCUGGUAACGUAACGGUAACCUAACGUAACGGUAAUGGUAAUGUAACGUCACGACAGGACCUCAAACUCAAGACCCGAAGAAUCAUAAGACAGCCACCUUAACCGUUAAACCAACACCAGGGUUAUUUUCUUGUCGUAAGAACAUCAAAUAAAUUUAUUUUCUUGUUAUUCAGAUCAUGAAACUUAGCUUAAAAUGAUAAACUUGAUCCAUUAACGAGAUUGUGAUGUUGAUGAUGGUGACGACAAAUACGAGUUGAUGGAGUUGAUCGUGAUGAUGAUGUUGGAAGGUUUGAGGGGGUUGUCCUGUUGACGGCCAUUGUUAAUCAGGUGAAUAAAUGUGGAAACUAGUUUACCAGCCAGGGUAUUAUAGGUUAUGUGGACGAGUUUGGAGGUCUUUAUAUUACUUUAUUUUACAUUCAUGAAAAUAUCAUAUAACCAGUACCGAGGACCUGCGAGAGAUGUCGUGUGUUCUGGACCCACCGGAUUAGUGGUUUCUCGCACUUAUUGUUUGUCUGCUGUUUAUCCGUUAGCUGUUGCCUUCUGAUGGAGAAUGUUGGAGUCAACAUGUGGUUGUGGUUGCCGACUGGCCAAGAGGCGUCGUUUUUAGUCCAUCAUUUUGGGCUCCCUUGUGCUCGGGCAUGGCCGUGCUGCUGGAUGCUGCUUUUCUCGGUGACCGACCUCGUUCCUCGAUUAGGUAAUAUGAUGACGUCGACAGUGAAGCUUGUUGACCCAAGGAUGCAGCCUGCUCCUGUCAUCCUACAAGCUGACUGGUUGAAAUGUUUCCUUUGUCAGGAGGACACCAAUGAAAAGCUCUGUUGCCCAGCCAAUUCAAAGUGCACUGACAUCGGGACAGGUUACACAAGCCUUGCGGAUGAUUUCAUGGCCUUCCACUCUGCUGGUCGCUUGGCCAACACUGUUUUCCUCGCAAGGCUCGAUAACGCUAGUGGCGUGGAAGCAACUUUGUGGCAGAACAUGGCAAAAUUUCACUCAAUAUGUAAACUCAGGUCCAGCAAGACAAGGCUCCAACGAGCUGUCAAAAAUAAAUGUUUGGAUGAGGUGUCAAGUAUGGAGCGCUGCCAAAAGCAAGCACGCAGUGGACGGCAUCCCCGACGUAGCACUGCAGAAAGUCCUUUGUGUUUACUCUGCGAAAAAUCUGCAAGUCAGUCCGAACCAUUGCAUGAGGCAAUGACUAAACAGUUGGGUGAAAGAGUCAAGAAGUGUGCAACCAAACUCGGAGAUGUGAAACUCUUAGCAAAGGUGACAUCAGGUGACCUUGUUGCAAAGUGAAGGGAAAUAUCACACAAAUUGCUUGGUGGGCCUUUACAAUACAACAAGGAAAGUAGAAACUUUCCAAAAAGACGGAGACAAUGAAGGUCAAACGAUACAAGGCCAUCAUGCAUAAGCAUUUGCAGAGCUUAUUGCUUUCAUAGAAGACACCAUUGUGAACAGUGAAGAACAAAACACCUCCCCUGUGUUCAAGCUUUCGGACCUCGUUCACCUGUAUAGGGAACGGCUUACAAAACUUAGUGUGACAUCACCAUCUGUACAUUCUACAAGAUAAGGAGAGUGUAUCCUAGCUUCUUUUCCUGAGGGUCGCGAAGAUCUCUUGGUAUGCAAUGAGGAUGUUGGAAAUGCCCUUCGGAAAGCUUUUGAAAGUGACGCAGAGGACGAUGCUUUCAUGCUUGCCUGAGCCGAAAGAUUGUACGCAAAUAAAUGAUGGAAGCAUCAGCUCAAUUUGACGGAACUUUUUCUGAAAACUGUCAAGCAGAAUCUGUCCCACAGUAUUUGAGGACUCUUAUGGCCAUGCUGCUGUUCAGGCCAAAUAUUUCUGAACUGGCACUUGUAACUCAGACUCAAGCCUUGAUGAGCAUUUGUCAGCUGGUAGUCUUUAAUAGUCUGGCUCGCAGUAGGAAAUAAGUUCGAGUAAUACGACACAAUAAAGGCCCCCUCUUCCAGUAUAUGGAUGCAUUGGAGAGAUUCGUCAUACUACUCUAUGACCGAACAAGUUCUCGACACCAUGUUGAUGAGCUCGGGGUCGACCUGUUCACAUGGAAAGGCAGAGACAUGAGCAACAUUCCUCCGACCAAGGGUGCUCUACUUCAGCACACUAGACGAGCAGUAUACCAGACCAGUUACAUCUGGAGUCGGGUGCUUCAACCAAAGACGACACCCUGAUAACCAGAUGGAUGGGGAUGGACUUGUAGUAGUGAUGGAAAAUUAGAUGUUCUUGGGAGCAGUCUUCCUGAAGCCAGCAGAGUUUGCAGAAAACUUAUAAAAGAUGUGGUUGUACCAAAGUUUGUGGAACAAACUGCACAAAGGCAACUCUGCCAUGAACAGCUUUGUGUGAAUGUGGUGGUUCUUGUCAUGAAUAGUUCAUGUGAUGUCUGGCAUUUCAUAUUUGACUGUGAGCUUAUCUGACACAUGGCACUUCAGUAUCCACAACUACAAGUCUCAAUUCAACUUCCUAGUCGUCCACACUUGGCAUCGUUUUGACUGAUUUUAUUGUAGUACUAUGGUAUUGAAUUUUACUUGUGUAGUAGCUUAGAACUUAAAUUUACGGCAUCAUAUUUUCAUAAAUGUAAAAUAAAGC
ensembl:lincRNA